rnacentral:misc_RNA from 1 species
GGCAAGGGCGAGGCGAAGCUGACAGUGGAGAACAAGAAUGUGGCCGAGAUGAUUCAGAAGUGGUACCUGGGUGGAGAAUCUGCAGUUUCUCCGACGACUGUGAAGAGCCUGGCAGAUCAAUUCGCAGCACUGCUCUCUGCAUGAGGCAUGGAGUAAUAAACUACUGUAGUAAUGUUGCCUGUUUCCCAUUCAUUUUUAACUCGAUCAUGCUUUGAUUUGUCCAGCUGCUCUCAUGUGCAUGC